rnacentral:rRNA from 1 species
GUCGAGCGGAAAGGCCCCUUCGGGGGUACUCGAGCGGCGAACGGGUGAGUAACACGUGAGCAACCUGCCCCUGACUCUGGGAUAAGCCCGGGAAACUGGGUCUAAUACCGGAUAUAACCACUGGUCGCAUGGUCUGGUGGUGGAAAGUUUUUCGGUUGGGGAUGGGCUCGCGGCCUAUCAGCUUGUUGGUGGGGUGAUGGCCUACCAAGGCGACGACGGGUAACCGGCCUGAGAGGGCGACCGGCUAUACUGGGACUGAGACACGGCCCAGACUCCUACGGGAGGCAGCAGUGGGGAAUAUUGCGCAAUGGGCGGAAGCCUGACGCAGCGACGCCGCGUGGGGGAUGACGGCCUUCGGGUUGUAAACCUCUUUCAGCAGGGACGAAGCGAAAGUGACGGUACCUGCAGAAGAAGCGCCGGCUAACUACGUGCCAGCGGCCGCGGUAAUUCA